rnacentral:tRNA from 1 species
GGUCUGUUGGCGCAGUGGUAGCGCAAUACCUUGACAUGGUAGAGGUCACUGGUUCGAAUCCAGUACAGACCACCA